rnacentral:rRNA from 1 species
AUUGAACGCUGGCGGCAGGCCUAACACAUGCAAGUCGAACGAGUGGCGGACGGGUGAGUAAUGUCUGGGAAACUGCCUGAUGGAGGGGGAUAACUACUGGAAACGGUAGCUAAUCCCGCCUACCAUCAGAUGUGCCCAGCGGGGAUUAGCUAGUUGGUGGGGUACCGGCUCACCCAGGCGACGAUCCCUAGCUGGUCUGAGAGGAUGACCAGCCACACUGGAACUGAGACACGGGCCAGACUCCUACGGGAGGCAGCAGUGGGGAAUAUUGGACAAGGGGCGCAAGCCGGAUGCGGCAAGGCCGGGUGUAUGAAGAGGGCCUUCGGGUUGUAAAGUACGUUAAGUUGGGAGGCGUUACCAACAGAAUAAGCACCGGCUAACUACGUGCCAGCAGCCGCGGUAAUAC